CCGCCGCCGCCGCCGCCGCCGCCGAGGGCCGGGGCAGCAGCUGGCUGCGGACCCGCGGGCUCCGAGGCCCGCACCUCCAAGUCCUGUCACUCAAGCUCCCGCUGUGUGCUUUCAGGUGGCUUUGUAAUCUGGGCUCGCCAGGGAGCGUCCAGGCAACGAUUAUGUCAGUGGCGAGAUGACAGCUAGGAGACACCCAAAGGGAGAAGCCCAGCCUCCUUCAUGAAGGUGUUGCUGGAGUUUGAUUUGCCAACCGACAGCCCCCUUGGAGCCUCUCUGAUCAUCAGACCGGAGAGGGAGGUGAAAUUUUUGCUCAGAUCGGCCCGCCAGUGUCUCCCCGAGUGCUAAGAGACGAGAAGAGGAGUGGUUCAAGUUUGCAGCGGUGGAGAGAAAUUGGUGCUGAGGGCGGAGAGAGGAAUCCUUUCUGGCCAGUGCUUUCUACAAGCAGAGGUGGUGAGGGUGGAUAAUCAAAAGGGGAGAAACGCAGGAAGAUCAGAUUCUGUAGAGUCAAGGGUCUCAGCGAAAGACCAAUCUUAGGCUUACUAAGACCCCGCCCCGACUAGGAAAAAACAAAAAACAAAAACAAAAAACAAAAACGCAAAUGCUACCAGGGUUUGUUAGUUCCGCACCAAAAUCAGAGGCACCUCCCUUUGCCUUGUGAUUGGCUACUUUCUCCCGUUCAGAACAGUCUCCUCACCGUAUUGGCCUAUGAGCAGAUAGAACCUGCCUUCAAGAAUAGUCAGCAAACCAAUUAGGUUUGGGGCUCAAGGCAUUUCGGGAAGUGUAGUUCUCUGGAGUUCUGUGGUCCAAGAAGAUGCCUUCCACUUGGAACUUCUAAAACUUUGCUUUGUAGUUUCAUACUUGUUGAAAUAGGAACUUAAUUCAUCAAAGGGAGGGAACGGAAUAAAACAAAUUUGAAGACUUUC